rnacentral:tRNA from 1 species
GGACGAUUAGCUCAGCUGGUAGAGCAUCCGCUUGACGUGCGGAGGGUCAGCGGUUCGAUCCCGUUAUCGUCCACCA